UACAGAGGUCCCAAGCGUUGUUCGGAUUCACCGGGCGUAAAGGGUGCGUAGGUGGUGAGGUAAGUCGGAUGUGAAAGCUCGGAGCUCAACUCCGAAAUGGCAUUGGAAACUACCUUGCUCGAGGGUUGGAGGGGGGACUGGAAUGCUUGGUGUAGCAGUGAAAUGCGUAGAUAUCAAGCGGAACACCAGUGGCGAAGGCGAGUCCCUGGACAACUCCUGACACUGAGGCACGAAAGCUAGGGGAGCAAACAGG
rnacentral:rRNA from 1 species